CCUUUGCUACCUUGGGAAGCACCCCGACGAGACGCGCCGUACCGGGCUGAAGGCAAAGACGACGCACC
rfam:Streptomyces coelicolor A3(2) complete genome